CCCUUAGAUGUUCUGGGCUGCACGCGCGCUACACUGACGAAUGCAACGAGCUUAUAACCUUGGCCGAAAGGUCUGGGUAAUCUCCAAAUUUCGUCGUGAUGGGGAUAGAUUAUUGCAAUUAUUAAUCUUCAACGAGGAAUGCCUAGUAAGCGCAAGUCAUCAGCUUGCGUUGAUUACGUCCCUGCCCUUUGUACACACCGCCCGUCGCUCCUACCGAUUGAAUGGUCCGGUGAAGCGUUCGGACCGUGGCCUUUGGACGGUUCGCCGUCUGUUGGCUGCGGGAAGUUCGUUAAACCUUAUCAUUUAGAGGAAGGAGAANUCGUANCA
rnacentral:rRNA from 1 species